AUCACAGGUUCUGUCUGAAAAGAAGUGGCAUCAUUUUAAACAGUGAAACCACACUAAUAAAAAAAAAAAAAAUGUAAUGACCAACCAGUGUGCAAUGCUGUAUUCUGUAAAAACAUAAACAAUUGAAUGUAGAAUACUGUGCAAAGAAAUUCUCAACAAACAUUUUUUAAAAUCUAAAUCUUAUCUUAACACAAUUAAUGUAUUAUCUUAGAUAUUCCCAACCCUAGUGUGUAUGCAUGUAUUUAUUUAGUACUGUUAACAUAUCAGAGUUCUGAGUGAGUUUUUCUUUAGAUAGACAAAGGCCAUUUAUUGAUUACAUAUAGGCUAUUAAAUAAAUGUUUAUUAAAAACUUAAAAGGCAUU